CUGUUGGAGAUCCCUGUCUAUCUUAGAUCUUCUGAAGCAGAAAAAUGCAUGCGGAUUGCCAGUGAGAGAAGAGUAAUUUAGUACGCUGGUGAAGGAAUAAAAGCAACACUGAUCUCAGAGGUGUGAACCAUGCUCACAGGAUGGUGGUUGUGCAGCAGGUCAAUGUAUUUUUGAAACCUCCUGCAGAAUAAUGUUGCAGGGAUAAAUUUCUUGCUUCAGUGAUGAAGAUAGAUUAGAAUGACUGUUCUUGGCCUAUUUUAUUAAAUGGUUUUCCUACGGUUUGCAUCAUCAACUGUUCUGCUAGAAGAAAAUUUGUGGCAUUUCCUUUCAGCAUCAUGUGUUCUACAGAACAGGAGUUCUGACUACCUCCAUUAUGAUGUUCUUUCCUCAUUGCCUGCAUCUUAUCAGCCCCUGGGCUGCAGGCAGAAAAAAGUAGACCCCCUGGGCUGAUCUGAAUGCUGUCAUUCAUGAUAAAGUGAGUAUUAGCUUGAAACAACUGUAAUAUAACUUGUGGACAAAUCUGUUCAGAAGUGUUGUUGAGUUCACUGAAAUCAGCAGUGUUCGCUGUUUGUUGAUGGACUGUUUGAGUCUUGCGGAUUUUGUGUCAUGUAUUUCUAGCUUACAUCCAGAGGCCUCAAUUACAGAGGGAUCAAGUGGUUUCCCAAACUUAGACUUACUUUUGUUACCUUGAACUAAAAUUUUUUGAAGGAAUUUAUCAGAGUAAGUUGUGACAACUUGUUCCUUUGAGUCUGUCCCUGGUCUGUCAGAAGAAGGUAUAAAAACUGUGUGUCAGAUGUCACAGCCGUAAAACAUGGGGAAUAUACCUACAAAUAUCUAAGUAAUGUGGGCCAUUACUUGGAAGCAUGAAAAGUAAUUCUUUCUUCUUUGAGAAAAGGUUUUGUGCACUUCAGAGUAUCUGGCACUCAAUACCUCAACUUAUAUGUGGUCAGUCAGCCAAGAAGGCUACUGUUUCAUAGAAUAGUUGACGUUGGAAAAGGCUUUCACGUUCAUCUAGUCCAACCAAGUCCCCACCUCCAGGGGCAGUGACUGUGACCUCCCUGGGCAGCCUUUACUACUGUCCAGCCACUCUUUCUGACAAGGAGUCUCUCCUAAUAGCCAACCUUAGCCUCUGCAGACAAAACUUGAGGCCAUUUCUCUCUAGUUCUAUUGCUGUUACCUGGAACAACAGGCCGACAGCCUUCUCACCACAACCUCAUUUCAGGGAGUUGAACAGAACUGUGAUGUCUCCCCUGAGCCUCCUCUUUUCUAAAGACAGAAGACAUGUCUCCUGAUUCAAAACCCAACCAAUUUUUUCUGUAGUUUUUUGUGCAGCUGUUCAGCCCUCUGCAAAAUUAAGUUUUAUUUUUAUGUGAAAAAUAAAAAAUAGUACAUUUUCCUAUGUCCAGCAGAAACAUGUGGUCUUUUUCUUAUGAAAUCUCUCCUGCAAUCCACUUGGUUUCUGUGGGUAGUGAUUUCAUAACGCUGGCAUUCAGAGGUGGCCUGUACCAGCUGCAGGAAAAAGGCUAUAUCCACAGCUCUUCCACCAGAACUGUGUUUGGAGCCAAAUUCCGUAUUCCUCAGUUCAAAUGACAUAAAAGCAGUGGCUGAAAUGAUCUUUAUAACAUGCCAGAUGAGAGCAAGGGUUUGAGGGAGAUGCAGAAGUACUGAUAACAAUGUAACUGAGAGUGUAUUUAGUUUGUUUUUAUCAUGGUUGUAGGAGCUUCAGCCUUCAGAGCAUUUAUAAGAAUGGAGAAUCUGAGAUUUAAAUGUGAGGCUUUUAAAAGAGUGCAGUAAGUCUCAGUGCAAAAAAUUCUUUCCAGAGCUAGUUUCUUUGUUAUUUUUGUGACUUUCCUUUUUCUAUUUCAAGAAUAAUCCUUAGAAGCCAAUGCCUUGACAAGCAAAGAAAAACUUCUGAUGAAACAGAAAGACUGACUUUUCAAACCACAGUACUAAAAUGGGAGAAAUUAUUUUUCUGCCCCUCUGUAUAAUCUUCUCUCAUGUUUUUCUGUAGAGUCACAGUAACAUUAUGGUUGGUUCCAUCAAAAACUGAAAAAGCUAUGCCAGAUUUCUGCCUUUUGCAGAUAAACCUUUCUGGACAAGGUUACAGGUGACAAAAAUGGAUUUUUGCAAACAGAAGUUGGAGUAAGCAUAUCAACUGUUGUCAGAAUUAUGGUUUAAAAAAAAUCAUCCCAACUUUACUUAGUCUGUCAAAGUACAAAAACUAGGGUCAGAAACUUUUCCCAUAUUGUUUAUCCUUGGACUUUGAUGAUUAAAUAUGACAGUAAAUGCUGAGCCCAAAAUUGCUUCUGUUUGUGGAAUAAAUGCUGUUACAAGCAUGAAUCCCUUUUUGGACUGUCCAUAACUUGAAAAAUAAGGGUUAAAGAUACCAGAUUUCUGUGGAAAUCUUUUGGACAAAAUUCAUUGCACUUUGCUGUUCUGCUCUAAAUCCAGAACAUACAAGGAUUUCCUGAGGGCAUGGUCAAGCUAUGGGAUGGAGCAUGGAGAUCUCCAUAGGCAAGUGAAGCAAAGAAAGGAAUUGCAUGACAGUUUGUUGGAACGCAAUAUCUGUUCUUUGUUUUCAGAGUUUUCUGUAUUGGCUUCUCAGUACCAUUUAUUAUGUGCAGUAUGUCAUUAAUAAUAAAAAAGUUUUCCAUCAUACU
ensembl:lncRNA